rfam:Corchorus olitorius cultivar O-4 contig03850, whole genome shotgun sequence.
AGGGGAGUAGUUUAAUUGGUAAAACAUUGGACUUUGAAUCCGAAGUAGUAGGUUCGAAACCUGCCUCCCUUG